AGGACGAACGCUGGCGGCGUGCUUAACACAUGCAAGUCGAGCGGAAAGGCCCUUCGGGGUACUCGAGCGGCGAACGGGUGAGUAACACGUGGGCAACCUGCCCCUAGCUCUGGGAUAACUCCGGGAAACCGGUGCUAAUACCGGAUAUGACCUCAUUUGGCAUCCUUUGAGGUGGAAAGAUUUAUUGGCUAGGGAUGGGCCCGCGGCCUAUCAGCUUGUUGGUGGGGUAAUGGCCUACCAAGGCGACGACGGGUA
rnacentral:rRNA from 1 species